CAAUAACAUUAACACAAGCAAUUCACCAAACACCUAACGUCCACUUUUCAUAACCAUGGCAACAACGUCCCGGAAGCUAGAAAUCAGAGUCAUAUCCGCCGAGAACUUGCAAUUAGAUCGAAAACCCAUCAAGAAAAACGCCUCUGCGACUGUCCGGGCCGAAAAGGACAGCCAGUUUCGCACCACGUACAUAGACACCGAAGGCGGCGCCUACCCCAAAUGGAACGAGAAGCUUGUGCUCGACUUGCCAUUGCAUGCGAGGUCCUUCACGGUGGAGAUUCAAUGCAAGACUUCUUACGGAGUCAGGACGAUUGGAACGGCAAAGAUUCCGGUGUCGGAUUUCGUGGGCGGGUUUGUGCCUGAGGGCUACCUGCAUUUUUUGAGUUACAGACUGAGAGAUAACAGGGGAGAGAGAAACGGGAUUGUUAAUAUUUCGGUGAGGAUGCAGGUGCCAGAGUUGAAAGCAUGUGCUACGACGUCGUCUCAUUCGAGCAUGGGAUUUCAGGUGGCAGAUAGCAGCUUUGGCGGCGGUGGCGUGGCGACUGGAGUUCCCGUUUGGUACGGGGCGUAUCAGAAAAAUUAUUGAAGAAAAAGGGUUUGACUAGUUGGUUUAUUAGUCACAAAUCACCAAAAAAUUUGUGCGUAAAUAUUGGAGUAAACUUUGUCGAACAACUUCCAAUGUUCAUGAAAAUUUCUGCAACAAUUUAAUUCAUUGUUCCAACUUACAUUCCCUGAUUUUUUUAUGUUAUUCAUGCGCUUAAACAAUCUUUGCAUCCUCUUUUGAAUGACAUCCACACUAAUUUUUGCAUUGUCAAUCAAUUGGCAUUCAUAUUUCCAG
rnacentral:lncRNA from 1 species